UCAAGAAACUUCUACAAUGGGCGAAAGCCUGAUGGAGCGACGUCGCGUGAUGGACGAAGUGCUUCGGCACGUAAACAUCUUUUAUGUGGGAUGAAAUUAUUGACAGUACCACAUGAAUAAGGGGCUCCUAACUCUGUGCCAGCAGGAGCGGUAAUACAGAGGCCCCAAGCGUUAUCCGGAAUCACUGGGCGUAAAGGGUGUCGAGGCGGUUGUAUUAGUCGUUCGUAAAAUCUACGAGCUUAACUUGUAGGCGGCGAACGAAACGGUACGACUUGAGGUUUGGAGAGGUGCGUGGAACUCACGGUGUAGGGGUGAAAUCCGUUGAUAUCGUGGGGAACACCAAAGGCGAAGGCAGCGCACUGGCCAAAAUCUGACGCUCACACACGAAAGCUAGGGUAGCGAAGAGGAUUAGAUACCCCUGUAGUCCCCGG
rnacentral:rRNA from 1 species